GUCAUCUUAUAGAAAAAAAAAGAUUCGCAUCUCGUCGCGUGCUCUGUUUAACAAAACGUUUUUUACACUACUUGUGUAAAACUGAAAAGUAAAACUAGUUGCGUAAAAUCAUGUUUCGUAUGCACGGACUUCCUCCGACGGAUGCCGCAGAGGAAAAACGCAAAGUGCGACUAGCUGUCCAACAAAAUCUAUUCGCCUUCUUAGCGCUUUGCGUUUCGAUUCGAAUAGCUUCUGUUUUGGUACAAGAAGGAACGGUUUAAUCAAUCACGGUACGAUGGUAUUAUCAACGCUUUCAUAUUAAAUAAGAGCUAUACAUUACACUACUUA